rnacentral:rRNA from 1 species
AACGAACGCUGGCGGCAGGCUUCAUACAUGCAAGUCGCGCGAUUAAGACCCGCAAGGGUGUAUAGAGCGGCGAACGGGUGAGUAACAGGUGGAUAAUCUGCCCCUUGGCGGGGGACAACAGCUGGAAACGGCUGCUAAUACCGCAUGUGGUUGCCGGGCUCUCGGGCCUGGCAAAGAAAGGCGCUUCACGGCGCCGCCAAGGGAUGAGUCCGCCCCCCAUUAGCUAGUUGGCGGGAUAAUAGCCCACCAAGGCUUCGAUGGGUAGCCGAGCUGAGAGGUUGAUCGGCCACACUGGAACUGAGACACGGUCCAGACACCUACGGGUGGCAG